AUUGAACGCUGGCGGCAUGCCUUACACAUGCAAGUCGAACGGCAGCACGGGAGCAAUCCUGGUGGCGAGUGGCGAACGGGUGGGUAAAGUAUCGGAACGUGCCCAGUCGUGGGGGAUAACGUAGCGAAAGUUACGCUAAUACCGCAUACGAUCUAUGGAUGAAAGCGGGGGAUCGCAAGACAUCGCGCGAUUGGAGCGGCCGAUAGCAGAUUAGGUAGUUGGUGGGGUAAAGGCUCACCAAGCCGACGAUCUGUAGCUGGUCUGAGAGGACGACCAGCCACACUGGGACUGAGACACGGCCCAGACUCCUACGGGAGGCAGCAGUGGGGAAUUUUGGACAAUGGGCGAAAGCCUGAUCCAGCCAUGCCGCGUGCAGGAUGAAGGCCUUCGGGUUGUAAACUGCUUUUGUACGGAACGAAAAGGUUUGGCCUAAUAAGCUGAGCUCAUGACGGUACCGUAAGAAUAAGCACCGGCUAACUACGUGCCAGCCGCCGCGGUAA
rnacentral:rRNA from 1 species